UCUCUAUCUCAAAUAAAUAAAUAAAAUCUUUAAAAAAACAAUGCAAACAAGGUAGCCACUCUCUCCCCAAAGAGGAAAGAGCCAGAGACUCAUUAGUUGUGGUGUCCAUCUCCGGCUGACGUUCUUUUCCCUUCUUGUUCAGUCACAAUCUGUUUGAUAUUCUAAAGACUAAAGUAUAAGAUCAGCCGCCACUAACACUCCUUAUAUAAAAUAAUAGGGGGAAGAAAGAGGAAGAAAAUACCUAAGAAAGCAAGGAAGAAUAUAUAUGCGUAUUGUAAAUAUAUUAUAUUUUGGUUAUUAUAACUUCCUUCCUCUGCCAUCCAUCCCUUGUUCCUUUUGCCCUCAGCCAGCAUCCAGCUAUUCGGGGUACUUUAUCUGGUGGAAUAACCCAAGCCUUCCUUCCUGAAGAAUGUAAUCGCCUGGUGGUUCUUCCUGUAUGUGGUUACUGUAGUUUUCCAUUAAUGUUUCCUAAUGGACAUAGAGGUACAAGUAGGCACCCCAAAGAAUCCUGUGAUUCCAGGUUCCAGACAUAUGCCUUUCAGGUCCCUGCUGAGUAGUAUCAGUCUUAUUUUCCCUCGACAGUCAAGAUCAGUCAGAACCGAAUCCCACCAACAACUUUAAUGAGGUUAGAAGAGGAGCCCGGACUCCAGAUGACAGUGUAGCCUGCUGAAACCUUGAUUUGAGCCUUGUGAUCCCCUGAGCAGAGAACCUGGAGAUGCCAUGCCUGACUUCCCACCUACAGAACUAUGAGCUAAUGGAAUGGAAAUUACAUUGAAACAAACAAACAGUCGAUGAAAGCUGCCGCUGACCCACACAGCUGCCCUCUACAGUCAGUAGACCCAAAGUGGAUGAUGGAUGGACUGCAGAAUAUGGAGCCUAAUAGCCAGUGCAAAAACCCAUAUGUGCUGAAACUGGCACCUCCGCACCUGCCACUGGCAAAGGAAGAAGGGCUUCUGCCUCCCUUCUGCCUUCCAGAUCACGGCUAUGUGAUUGGCAGGUCUGAAUCCAGAACCUUGCUGGCCCGGGCCAUUGUACCAUGCAGGUAUUUGUAAUUUUGUAUUCUUUUACCAAAAGAAGGCCUCCACAAUCAACAGAGGAUGGCAGAGCAGAAAGGUAGAAUCCUGGUUGCUCUUGACACUUGGAAGUCCAUGGCAGCUCUAGAUGGUCCACCGCCAGACUCCUUUUAUUUGAGGGAGAAAUAAAUUUCUAUCUUGUUUAAAUGACCAAUGUUUUGGCUUUUCUGUUAUGAGCCACCAAACAGAAUCUAAACUGAUAAGCCCUUUGACUCAGCAGUCUACUUCCAGGAAUUUAUCCUACAGAUGGACUGGCACAUAUAUACAAGAUGAUACAUGGUCACGGUCAUUCAUUGCAGCAGAAGAUGGGAAACAAUCUGUAUGUCCAUCAAUGGAGACUGGUUAAAUAAAUUAUUUGCAUCCAUACAGUGAAAUUGUAAGCAUCAUAUAUUAUCAGGAAGCUUGUCAUAUCGAUAUGAAAUGAUCUCUAAGCUGUACUGUUAAGAGAAAAAAGUAAGUGCAGAACAGUGUGAAUACUGUGCUAUUAUUUGUGUAAAAUAUAGAUAUGUAUAUAUAUGUAUACAUAUAUGCACAUAAAUGUAUAUGCAUGUGUGUAUAUAUAUGUAUUUAUAUAUAGGCUGCUGGUUCCUGUGCAGGCAACUGAGUGGCUGAGGACGGGAG